rnacentral:rRNA from 1 species
GAUGAACGACUAGCUACACGGCUUAACACAUGCAAGUCGAGGGGCGAGCGGGAUUGAAGCUUGCUUCAAUUGCCGGCGACCGGCGGACGGGUGAGGUAACGCGUGGGUAACCUGCCUCAUACAGGGGGAUAACAGUUAGAAAUGACUGCUAAUACCGCAUAAGCGCACGUCAUCGCAUGAUGGUGUGUGAAAAACUCCGGUGGUAUGAGAUGGACCCGCGUCUGAUUAGGUAGUUGGUGGGGUAACGGCCCACCAAGCCGACGAUCAGUAGCCGACCUGAGAGGGUGACCGGCCACAUUGGGACUGAGACACGGCCCAA